rnacentral:rRNA from 1 species
UCGGGAAUUUUGGGCAAUGGGCGAAAGCCUGACCCAGCAACGCCGCGUGAAGGAUGAAGUAUUUCGGUAUGUAAACUUCGAAAGAAUAGGAAGAAUAAAUGACGGUACUAUUUAUAAGGUCCGGCUAACUACGUGCCAGCAGCCGCGGUAAUACGUAGGGACCAAGCGUUGUUCGGAUUUACUGGGCGUAAAGGGCGCGUAGGCGGUGUGUCAAGUCAGUUGUGAAAUCUCCGAGCUUAACUCGGAACGGUCAACUGAUACUGUCACACUAGAGUACAGAAGGGGCAAUCGGAAUUCUUGGUGUAGCGGUGAAAUGCGUAGAUAUCAAGAGGAACACCUGAGGCGAAGGCGGGUUGCUGGGCUGAUACUGACGCUGAGGCGCGAAAGCUAGGGUAGCAAACGGGAUUAGAUACCCCAGUAGUCCCUGAGCGGGCUGGCAAGGCGCAU